AUUUAAAAUAAAUGUUUAAUUAUACAUUAUACAUGGUAAUAAUAUAAUGACAUUAUUAAUAAUACAUAAUAAUACUAUAAUAUUAUAAUAAUAUAAUAUACAUCAUACUAUUUUUCUUUUCCUGAAGUGUGUAUACAUAGUUUAAGGCUGAUUUUUUUGUGCUGGAGGAAUAAUCUAUAGGCAUGCCAUAGCUACUCUCAGAUGCAUCAUGAAGUAAAAACACACUCUGGUUGGGGUGCUGUUGUGUUAGACGAGUUACCCGUUAAUAUAAACCUAUCCCAAGAUAAAUAAACUGCAAAUGAAUCAGCAGUUGUGGAUGCCGAGCGUCACGGUUCUGGAAUCAGGAUGAGCGUUCCUUCUCUAAAUAAUAACUGCUCAGGUCUCAUUCAUUUGCACCAUGCACAUCAGCUCUUGUCAGAGUUAUUUAUAAACCCUGCGCUUAUAUCAGCUCUGCCUCAGACCCCAGAACAGCCACUGACACCCUUUGUGUUUGUUUACUCCUGGCUUGAGCCAUGGUUACAGGCUGAGUAGAGUUUAAGCCCAGACAUGCAGACAGAGGGAAAGCCAUAGGCAGGACUCCCGAUCCCCACAUGGACUCUGACCUCAUUUACUUCUGCAGCUGUGGCCCUGUGUUCUGCUAUAUCUGGCUUCAACAGCUCCAUUGUCAAUGCAAGCCAAGAAGUGAAACAUCCACAGCACCUUCCGCCCUAAUUUACAAAGGUUUUACAUCAUUCCAGCUGGGUUGGAAUUAUACAGAAGUGUGACGAGAUGCUUUGGCAUGUUUCUUAGGAAUGUGGAAUUUGAAGCAGUCUGGGUUGCAUAUGCAUCAGUAUCUUCUCUGAAUAGCAUUUCUGUUAAUGUUGCAACAGUUCCCUAUUUUAAUUUUUGCCACAUCAGCAUAUUUUAAACCUGUGCUGAUUGGGGUGUUCUGAAGAAAACUCAGUCGAACAAGGUUCAGAAUAGGAACAGAAGACACAGAUCCUGGAUCUGAUACAUUAAUGAGCAUGUAAUGGGGCCAGGGGUAGCUUGGUGGUUAAGGCAUUGGACUACGGUUCAGAAGAUCCCAGGUUCAAACCCCACAACCACUGUUGCCACUGUUGGGCCCUUGAGCAAGGCCCUUAACCCUCAACUGCUCAGAUGUAUAAUGAGAUAAAAAUGUAAGUCGCUCUGGAUAAGAGCGUCUGCCAACUGCCUAAAUGUAAAUGUAAAUGUAAUGAAACGUAUCUUAUAUCAGAUGUAUAAUAAACAUGAUGACAAUUUACAGAAGACCACCUGCAGAUGAUUUCCAUCAGUGUACUGUAAAGUCACCCACUGAGCCUGCAUCACAUUGGGAAAAUCACAUGACUGCUUGUAAUGCUUGCUGUUUCAUGCAGAAUUGAUACACUGAGCAGGUAAAUGAUGCAAGCCUCAGACCAAUCAGCUCGAUCGACAGAGAUGAGAUCUUCACCCUGUUCUGUGGUGUGACUCCAGCAUGCGUCAUAGAUAAAUAGUUCAUGCUAAUCCUUUCAGGGCUUUCAGGAUCUACCAAAAAAAAACAACAACAACAAAAAAAAAACCAGAACAAUAUGAUGUUCUGUCAGUAUUUGUUAUUUACUGCGAUGAAGCUGAGGCUUGUGUGUCUUCAUGUCUUUUUAGUAAACAUCUGGAAGUACUUUUUUUACCAUUUAUAGUAAGUGGAAUCUCAUCUCUUGCAUAACCUGUGAUCUUUAAGAGAAUGCAAAGUAGGCAUAGUUUCCCCGAGGAGUGUUUCCUGAUUGUGUGCACUGUGGCAUUCCGCUGUGUCAUGAGCUCAUGCUGAUCCUCAGAUUAGGCCAUACUGUAAUGCUAGAAAAGCUGACAUUCUGUGUUACAGGUCUAGUUGUGUGAGUCAUCAUUAUGAAAUCUGAUCUUGCAAUUGGAUACACCAUUAUGGCAUCACUGACUACACUGGGUUUCAAAAGCCUCCAGACCUCUUUGGAUUUUUGAAGAUUUCACGGCAUUGGAGAUUUAUAGCCAACUAAAUAAAAUGCCGUUUUCUCGUUCUUAUUUUUACCAUUAUUUAUACUGUUUGUAGAAGGACGCAAUUAUAGUCUCAAAUCUUCUUGGGCGAGUCUCUACACAACUAAAUUUGGGCAGUUUCCCCAAUUCCUCCUGGCUGAUCCUCUCUGGCUCAGUCUGAUGGGAUGUGGAGUGCCUUUGAACCUCCAUAUUUAGGCUUCUCCACUAGUUUUAAGCACUACUUGGUGAUUACCAAAUGUAGCUGCUUGAAUAUUUAAGAAUUCUUUUCCUUAUUAUCUCAGAGUCCUUUAAGUGCAUGUUAUAGGCCUUUUACCUGAGUAAUGGCUUACAUCUUCUUGCAAGUUCCGUUAAGGUGUUCUUGGUGCUUUCUCUGACUGAGUUUUUUUAGGAUGGUUACAAAGUAGAUUUUGAGGUUUCAUGGGAGUGUAGGUCUUGUGACUAUCACAUCUCACCCACAAUCUCACCUUUUCUACUGUCCAUCACUGAAGCUAUUCAGGUAAAAAACACGUAAUUUAAGAUGUAUUUGAGAUCCUGAAUCAAUCUUUUCCAGACUGGAGUAGCUACUUGGAAAGACAUUAAGGUGACAUGACUUAACUUUAAGACAACUUCAUCUGGAGACUAAAAAUCUUUGAUAUACUUUGAUAUUAUUGAUAUAUACACACAGGUUUGUGUUUUUCUAACUAAUAUUCAAUCAGUUGACUUUGCUGCAGGUGGACUCCAGACAAGUUCCAGGAUCAUAUCAAGGUAAACCAGAGUAAACAUGGUGCACCUAAGCUUGACUUUGAAGCUAAGACUUAUUUAAAUAAUAGAGUUCAGGUUUAUAUCAUCAUUUUAUAUUAUCUUUACAAUAAAGGACAAUAAUUAUACACAACAAGAAGAGGUAUAAAGAUGUUCUUGAAGUCACUGUAGGUAUUUUUUGUUUUACCAUGGGUUUACCAUGAUUGAAUCUUGUACUGCUUCUCAAGAAAGAAAUUAAUCAUGCAUUAUUUAAACAGGAGUUAUUAAAGUGACUCCUGAAUGUGUUGUGUCAUGAUAUACAAACAAAAAACCUGAUGCAAUAGCAUGUUUGUGAUUGCAAGGAAUCCAUAUCAAGAGUUUCAGUUACUAAAACACAAAAGGUUCCAAGGUGACGUCAUGAUUACAGAUCAUGUGACCAGGUAGAAUUUCCUGUUUGUUAGAACCUAAGAGAGAAGAAAAAACAUAUUCAGUACUCAAGGGUUGGUCAUGUGAUAGUGUUGCACCAGUGGAAAACACGCUCGGUGUGGUGUUUACACUCAAAACACAGCGUCAGCAUGAGCACUGCAGUUUCUGGGAUUAGUCAGACUCCUUCUGAGUCAUCUGUAUUAUCACCUGACCACAGAACUAACUGGGACAAAAGGCUUUUACUGGUAAAACAUUAAUAUAAUGAUUAUCAUGUUCUGAUAAUCUUAAUUUGUUUUCUCUCAGGGAUAGCUAGGAAAAAAUUUAAACAAACAUCUAAAGGGCACACACAUCCAGACUGUGCAACAGCUUUUUUCCACAAGCCAUCCGUCUCCUCAACAAAAAGGGACUGAACUGAUAAACACACACACACACACACACACACACACACACACACACAAACAUUAUCACUCAGCUUAACUCAACUACAUCAAUACAUCAAAACACUGUGACUGGACUGACAAAUCAACACAAGCGCAGACACACUGACCCACACAAACUAUCGUACACACAUCUGUAAAUGCCUCACUGUUUAUCUCUUCUGCACAAUAUUCAUUACUUUUUUUGCACAAAUAUCAAUUCUUGCUGCUAUGUUUUACUACCUCUUUACCAUAUUUUAUGUUUUAUGUUCUGAUAUGUCGUUGUUGUCGCACUGUCACUUUGUUGUUGCUCGUUUUGCACAUCUGCACGUGCACUUUAUGUUGUUGUCUGUUGUCUGGAUAAAAAACCUGUAGAUAGUCUUUUAGUUAGUUAGUCUUUUUUUUUUUUUUUUUGUUAAUUUAUGUUGUAAUUUAUGUUAGGAAUAUCUGUCUUGUCCCUGCUAGCCAGCUAACUAGGCCCCCUAGCUAGCUAGUUUAGCUUCCCUGUUAAUUUAUGUUGUAAGUUUAUGUUGCAUGUAGCACCUUGGUCCUGGAGGAACGUUGUUUCGUUUCACUGUGUACUAACUGUAUAUGGUUGAAGUGACAAUAAAGCCUACUUGAACUUGAACUUGAACUAAAGAAUAUUUUGAUGUUUGCGUAAACGGGCCUUACUCAGGAAAAGAAAGUGGAACCUGACAGACCUCCUGCUGCUCAUCCUCCUUCUGUUCAUGCUUCCUUAGGUCAGACCUGUCAAUAAUUAUUAAAGCUUCAGGUGAUCUGGUUAAUAUGGAAACCUGCGACAAAUGCUACAGCUUGAUAUUAAUGGUGAACUUGCACAAUGAUUUAGCCCAUAUUUGACUCUGCUGCAAGGGUGGGGUCUGCUUGGGUGUUAGGACAAAAGAAUUCUGCCAUGUUGUCAAGAAAACGGCUGAAGCCCUUGUUCAGACACGCACUGAGUAUCGUACUGAAGUCUGGGCUAAUGGGAUGAAAUUCACAACGCUCAGAGUCAAAAUCACACAGACCACAAGCCUGCAAUACACAGAACGCGUUCACUGAACUAUGGGACUCACAGACCAGGUGAAGAUCUCAGAGUGUCUUGCAGCAUGUAACACUUGUCUGAGUACCUGCUCAGGUAGCGGGUUCUCCUCAUCCGGCAUCAUGUAGCAGGACAGCGCUCUGAACCGGGACGGGUCUGAGUUUUCCUCCACCAGCUGUCUGAUGUGAAAGAUGUGCUGCUCGAGCUCUUGCAGAGACAUACUCUGCUUCAACGAGAUCCUGAAACCAGAGCAUUCAGAAUGAUAGACUGCAGCACAGAGCUUCAGUAGAGUUAUCACCCAAAUCACUGUCUGAUUGCACAGAACUCGAUCAGAAGACUGCAUGUCAACAUUCCAUUUCAUUCCAUCUUGGAUAAUAUACAAUGGGUAAAGAAAAUAAUCAUCCCUAUUAAAAUAAUCAUAUUGUAUUGUUUGUAGCUCCAGUUAAACGAACAUUUAUCUUAGAGAAAAAAAAUAGCAGUCUGGAAUAACGAUCAAACACACAAGGAUCCUAAAUUAUGGAAAAGCUCGAUUCUUAUGUAAAACUGUAGCCAAAUUACUCAGGAAUAAUACCACCACAAAAACCUGCAUACCAAACCAUGUAGUAUUAAGGACGUCAUGAUAAAAAUUUGUAUUUAUUUAUUUAUUUAU